GACGAACGCUGGCGGCGUGCCUAAUACAUGCAAGUAGAACGCUGAAGGAGGAGCUUGCUUCUCUGGAUGAGUUGCGAACGGGUGAGUAACGCGUAGGUAACCUGCCUGGUAGCGGGGCAUAACUAUUGGAAACGAUAGCUAAUACCGCAUAAUAGUAGAUGUUGCAUGACAUUUACUUAAAAGGUGCAAUUGCAUCACUACCAGAUGGACCUGCGUUGUAUUAGCUAGUUGGUGGGGUAACGGCUCACCAAGGCGACGAUACAUAGCCGACCUGAGAGGGUGAUCGGCCACACUGGGACUGAGACACGGCCCAGACUCCUACGGAAGGCAGCAGUAGGGAAUCUUCGGCAAUGGACGAAAGUCUGACCGAGCAACGCCGCGUGAGUGAAGAAGGUUUUCGGAUCGUAAAGCUCUGUUGUAAGAGAAGAACGAGUGUGAGAGUGGAAAGUUCACACUGUGACGGUAUCUUACCAGAAAGGGACGGCUAACUACGUG
rnacentral:rRNA from 1 species